rnacentral:rRNA from 1 species
GAGAUCGGGAUAACACCUGGAAACAGAUGCUAAUACCGGAUAACAACAGAUGAUGCCUAUCAACUGUUUAAAAGAUGGUUCUGCUAUCACUCUUGGAUGGACCUGCGGUGCAUUAGCUAGUUGGUAGGGUAACGGCCUACCAAGGCGAUGAUGCAUAGCCGAGUUGAGAGACUGAUCGGCCACAUUGGGACUGAGACACGGCCCAAACUCCUACGGGAGGCAGCAGAG